rnacentral:misc_RNA from 1 species
GAUGAAGAACGUAGUGAAAUGCGAUAAGUAAUGUGAAUUGCAGAAUUCAGUGAAUCAUCGAAUCUUUGAACGCACAUUGCGCCCCUUGGUAGUCCGAGGGGCAUGCCUGUUCGAGCGUCAUAUUAACCACUCCCGCUUGCGGGGUCUUGGGCUUCGCCUCCGGGCGGGCCUUAAAAUCAGUGGCGGUGCCGUCGGGCUCUACGCGUAGUAAAUUUUCUCGCGAUAGGGUCCCGGUGGAUGCUUGCCAACAACCCCCAACUUCUUAAGGUUGACCUCGGAUCAGGUAGGGAUACCCGCUGAACUUAAGCAUAUCAAUAAGCGGAGGA